rnacentral:ncRNA from 1 species
AAAAAGUUUUAUUUACACUUAAAAAUUAGAUAUUAUUAUUUAUUAUAUGUAAUAUUUAUUAAAUAAAAAUUGGCAGUAAUUAGAUUUAAUUAUUAAUAAAAGUUAGAAUUAGAAAGUAUAUAUAAUAUUAACAAAAUUUGUGCCAGCAGUUGCGGUUAUACAAAUAAUGUGAUUUAAUUUUAUUAAUAUUAAUUAAUUUGUAGUUAAAGUUUUAAAGUAAAAUUUAUUAAGUGAAAUUUUAAAUUUUAUUAAUACUAUAUAUAUAUAAUGAUAUUAAGAAAUUUAUCGUAUAGACUAGGAUUAGAUACCCUAUUAUUUUAAAUGUAUUGUUUUUAUUGAAUUAGUAUUAGUUAUGUUCUUUAAAAUUAGAGAAUUUGGCGGUAUUUUAGUCUUUUCAGAGGAACCUGUUGUAUAAAUGAUAAUCCACGAUUUUAUUAACUUUUUUUAUUAGCUUUCAUAUCGUCGUAAUUAAAUAUUUUUAUAGGAUUUUAAUAUUUAAGAUUUUUUAUUAAAAAAUUAAUCAGAUCAAGAUGUAGCGUAUAUAAAAGUAUAAAUGGGUUACAAUAAAUUUAUUUUUGGAUAAUUAUUAUUAAUAAUAGUUUGAAUUUGGAUUUGAAAGUAAUUUUAAUUAAUUAAUUAAUUUGAUUAUAGCUCUAAAAUAUGUACAUAUUGCCCGUCGCUUUCAUGGAAUAUGGAAUAAGUCGUAACAAAGUAGAUUAACUGGAAGGUGAAUCUAGAUUACA